rnacentral:tRNA from 1 species
GGAGAUAUAGCUCAGGGAUAGAGCACCCACCUAAUAUAUGCUAGGCCUGAGUUCAAUCCUCAGUACCUCAA